rnacentral:rRNA from 1 species
GAACUGAAGAGUUUGAUCAUGGCUCAGAUUGAACGCUGGCGGCAGGCCUAACACAUGCAAGUCGAGCGGAUGAAGGGAGCUUGCUUCUGGAUUCAGCGGCGGACGGGUGAGUAAUGCCUAGGAAUCUGCCUGGUAGUGGGGGACAACGUUCCGAAAGGAGCGCUAAUACCGCAUACGUCCUACGG